rnacentral:rRNA from 1 species
UACGGAGGGAGCUAGCGUUUGUUCGGAAUUACUGGGCGUAAAGCGCACGUAGGCGGCUUUGUAAGUUAGAGGUGAAAGCCCGGGGCUCAACCCCGGAAUUGCCUUUAAGACUGCAUCGCUUGAAUCCAGGAGAGGUGAGUGGAAUUCCGAGUGUAGAGGUGAAAUUCGUAGAUAUUCGGAAGAACACCAGUGGCGAAGGCGGCUCACUGGACUGGUAUUGACGCUGAGGUGGCGAAAGCGUGGGGAGCAAACAGGGAUUAAGA